UACAGAGGGUGCAAGCGUUAAUCGGAAUGACUGGGCGUAAAGGGUGCGUAGGUGGUUUUUUAAAUUGUUUGUGAAAUACCCGGGCUUAACCUGGGUGCUGCGAACAAGACUGGAAGACUAGAGUAGGGUAGAGGGAAGUGGAAUUUCCGGUGUAGCAGUGAAAUGCGUAGAUAUCGGAAGGAACACCAGUGGCGAAGGCGGCUUUCUGGACCCAUACUGACACUGAGGCACGAAAGCGUGGGGAUCAAACAGG
rnacentral:misc_RNA from 1 species